GAUGAACGCUGGCGGCGUGCCUAAUACAUGCAAGUCGAGCGAACAGACGAGGAGCUUGCUUCUCUGACGUUAGCGGCGGACGGGUGAGUAACACGUGUAUAACCUACCUAUAAGACUGGGAUAACUUCGGGAAACCGGAGCUAAUACCGGAUAAUAUUUUGAACCGCAUGGUUCAAUAGUAAAAGACGGUCUUGCUGUCACUUAUAGAUGGAUCCGCGCUGCAUUAGCUAGUUGGUAAGGUAACGGCUUACCAAGGCAACGAUGCAUAGCCGACGUGAGAGGGUGAUAGGCGACAUUGGAACGUAGCCACGGUCAAGACUCCUACGAGAGGCAGCAGUAGGGAACCUGAGGCAGUGGGCGAAAGCCUGACGGAGUAACCGGGAGUGAGUGAUGACGGUCCUCGGAUCGUAAAAAUCUGUUACGAGGGAAGAACAGAUGUGUAAGGAAAUGUGGCGUGAGUGACGGUAAUGAAUAAGAAAGCCCCGGCUAACUACGUG
rnacentral:rRNA from 1 species